CGAGAAGUAGCUCAGCUUGGUAGAGCACUUGGUUUGGGACCAAGGGGUCGCAGGUUCGAAUCCUGUCUUCCCGACCA
rnacentral:tRNA from 1 species